CUUUAAUCUGUCAUCAUCUCUUAGUACGUGGAGGGUUCCUUGGUUUUUCACAGAAAGUUUUUUUCCCUCUUCCUCCCUAGGGCUUCACGUAAGCCCUCCUCUUUGGAAGCUCUCAGAAUUUUUAUUCUAUGAAUUCUCUUAUGAAAUCUUCCAUUCUCUUUUCCAAAAAUUAAUCGAUAACGAGCUCACCUCCUCAUCGAUUUUCUUCUUUGAGUAUAAUGAGGAAUUCCUUGUGGUGGUGUCCCAAAGGAAAUCCACCUCCGUUGUGAUUGCUGCGAUCGUGAAGGUGAGACUGAGAUCGCAUCCGUUCGUGAGAUUGGGAGAGAAUAUGUGAAGAUUGGGUAUGCUACAAGGGUAAUUGGGAAACUAUGAGACAAUUUGAACCAUUGAUCCGAAAAUGAGACGGAAAUGGGC